rnacentral:rRNA from 1 species
AUUGAACGCUGGCGGCAUGCCUUACACAUGCAAGUCGAACGGCAGCACGGGAGCAAUCCUGGUGGCGAGUGGCGAACGGGUGAGUAAUAUAUCGGAACGUGCCCGGUCGUGGGGAUAACGUAGCGAAAGCUACGCUAAUACCGCAUACGAUCUACGGAUGAAAGCGGGGGAUCGCAAGACCUCGCGCGAUUGGAGCGGCCGAUAUCAGAUUAGGUAGUUGGUGAGGUAAAGGCUCACCAAGCCGACGAUCUGUAGCUGGUCUGAGAGGACGACCAGCCACACUGGGACUGAGACACGGCCCAGACUCCUACGGAGGCAGCAGUGGGG